rnacentral:rRNA from 1 species
UACGUAGGGUGCGAGCGUUAAUCGGAAUUACUGGGCGUAAAGUGUGCGCAGGCGGCUCUGCAAGUCGAGUGUGAAAUCCCCGAGCUUAACUUGGGAAUUGCGCUCGAAACUACGGAGCUGGAGUGUGGCAGAGGAAGGUGGAAUUCCACGUGUAGCGGUGAAAUGCGUAGAGAUGUGGAGGAACACCGAUGGCGAAGGCAGCCCCCUGGGCUAACACUGACGCUCAGGCACGAAAGCGUGGGGAGCAAACAGG